CGUGUAGGCGGUUGGGAUAGUCAGACGUGAAAGCCUUCUGCUCAACAGAAGAAGUACGUCUGAAACUGCCCAACUUGAGUACGAGAGAGGAAAGUGGAAUUCCCAGUGUAGAGGUGAAAUUCGUAGAUAUUGGGAGGAACACCUGUGGCGAAGGCGACUUUCUGGAUCGAUACUGACGCUGUGACGCGAAAGCGUGGGGAGCAAACAGGAUUAGAUACCCUGGUAGUCC
rnacentral:rRNA from 1 species